ensembl:lncRNA
GACGUUGUGUGAGGGCCCCCUGCUCAGCCACAAAAUGCCCACAGACCUGUCCUUACCCUGCCUCCCAGGGCCAACAUCUCCCCACCAGCUGGUCCCACCACACGAUGGCCCCUGUGCUUGAAGGAUGGCCCCAGUGCUAGCUCCUGCCUUCCCCAACUCAGAGUGGACCCCCAGCCUCUUCGCUUUCUCCCCUCUGUAGAAGCCCACUCACCCUUGGGAAAAGGAGACACAAGUUUGAUCCCUGGUCUUCGAUCCCUGGUCAUGAAGAUCCCCUAGAGGAGGGCAUGGCAACCCACUCCAGUGUUCUUGCCUGGAGAAUCCCAUGGACAGAGGAGCCUGUGGGCUACAGUCCACAGGGUCGCGAAGAGUCAGACAGGCCUGAGGUGACCGAGCACGCACUGGGAAGAUCCCACAUGCCGCAGGGAAACUGAGCCUCAUGCGCCACAACUAUUGAGCCUGGGCUCUGGAUCCCAGGAGCCACAACUACUGAGCACAAGCACCGCAGUUACUGAAGCCUGUGCACGCUGGAUCCUGUCCUCCUCAAGGAGAAGCCACUGCAAUGAAAAGCCAGAGCACCGCAACUAGAGAGUAGCCCCCAACUUACCAUAACUAAAGAAAAGCCAGCAUAGCAAUGAAGACCCAGCACAGCCAAGGAUAAAUAAAUAAAUAAAUAAUAAAAAAUAAUAAAGAAUAAAAUUAAAUAGCUGCUUAAGUCGCAUCUCUUCAAGGGCAGUUCCCAUUUAAUUGAGGGCUCAGCCUGAAAUCAAAGGAAUGGGUCUGUUAUUGAGGAGUGUUUCAGGAAAUGACAGGAAAGGACAAACUCCUGUCCCCUGCAUUUUAAGCUCCUUCAGAAAAGAGGAAAGGAGUUGGGGACCCCGUCAAUUCCCCGUGGCGGCUGCUCUGUAGCCCGGAAUCCACUCUGCACCCUUACUCUCUAAAGGAUAGGCGCCGAGUCCACCGCUCCCAGAGCGGAUCGCAGCGGGUCCCGCGGCGCCCCCGCCCCUACCUUGGUCUGGAAAAAGCCAGAGCAUCCCUUGGCGCUGGGCUUUCUUCACGUAAAGUGAUUACCACGUGUCAGAAAGAAACUGCUGCUUUUCUGUAUAACCACAGACCACUUCGGAGAAGAGGGACUUAGGAUCAAAAAGGAAAACUGUUUCAAAACAAAAUACUGCAAGCUGGCGCUUUUUGCCCCCUUUCCUUUUUUUUUUUUUUUUUUUUAAGGGAGGGAGGAUUAAAAAACAAACAAACAAAAAAGUAAGUCGGCAUCUUCUCACAACUGCAGCUGAUUUCCUGUGUAAACGAAAACCAUGUGAUAUUCCAUAAAGGCUUCCAGCUUUAAAUGACAGGAAAUGAAAACCAUCACGGAAAAGGAAAGCUGCGGAGUCAAUUCCCAGCGCAGAUAUCAUUACGGCGACAGAUCAGGGGGAUGGCUGCUAAUGGGGGCCGGGCGCCGGGGACAGUGACUCCCCCCGCUCCCACCCCCGCAAAUGUUUCUUCUGCAGGAGCAAUGGGGCGGCGGCGAUCACACCCCGGCGCUGCGCCCGGCAACUGGGCUUUCAAUUAGGGACCGAGCUGGGGAAAGCAGCCCUUUCUUUCUGCUUGCCUCACCCGGGUCAGGUCACGACCCCUCCACCGCGUUCAAUCUGCGGUGCCAUCCAUAUGCAUGAAGGCUAAUUA